CAGCUGCAUAUUCCUAGUCAUUCUCCUGGCCCUCUGGACUUUCUCUUGUCUCCCCUCCAUACCUGAUCCUGCCCUCCCUUUCACUUUCCUCUCCUAUCCCACCUAGGUUUCUCCCUUCCUCUGCCUCCCAUGAUUAUUUUGUUUCCCCUUCUAGGUGACAUUGCAUCAUCCUCUCUUGAACUUUUCUGCUUGUUACACUCCUUAUAGUCUGUUGUAUCCUAAAUAUUCUGUACUUGUUGACUAAUAUGCAUUUAUCAGUGAGAACAUACCAUGCAUAUGCUUUUGGGUCUGGUUUACCUUCUACAAGAUGGAAUUCUAGAUUUCCAUUCAUUUACUUGCAAAUUUCAAGAUGUUUUUUAUUUGUUUUUAUUUUUUAAUAGCUGAAUAGUAUCUCAUUGUCCUAUUGAUAGUGUCCGUUUCCUUACAGAAACUUUUCAGACACAUGAGGUCCCAUUUAUCAAUUGUUCAUCUUAGAGCCUGAGCUAUUAGUAUGCUGUUUAGGAAAUUUCCCCCUGUGCCAUUGUUCAAGUCUCUUUUCCACUUUCUCUUCUAUUAGAUUCAGUGUAUCUGGUUUUAUGUAGAGAUCCUUCAUCCACUUGCACUUGAGCUCUGUAAAAGUUCAUAAAUAUGGAUCAAUUUUCAAAGCUUCUCCACAUACACAAAAAUAUAUUUACUUGUUGAGAAUUUCAUGUAAGUAUUUAUAUCAUCCUCCCCAUCUCUCUUCUCUCUUCAAUUCCUUCCUAUUAUCAAAAUAACAAUCUCUUAUUUAAUCCAUAUUCACAUUAUGGCAUUGUGUGUGUUUAUCAAUAAAUAAAAAUGUAUAGGUUUUUUUUUCUGUUUUGCUUAAAGGGUUAGAGCUGACGUUUUAUAUUGUUUGGUUUGGUCUAUCAGGGUUCUUUUCCUGAUGGUAAUUGCUCGCAUUUGUACGAGUAGUGUCUUUUGAGAUUGCUCCAUCUAAUCCAGGACAAUUCAGAAACAAUGGAAGAGAAAUGAGAUUAAAUAACAGGUUUUACUGCUGUGAGCAGACACCAUGACAAAAUCAACUCUUAUAAGGACAACAUUUAAUUGGGGCUGGCUUACCGGUGCAGAGGUUCAGUCUAUUAUCAAGGUAUUAAAAGUCCAAAGUGACCAGGUAGAAGAUAUGGGCCAUCAUUCAAUAUGCCUUCUAACGAAAGUACAUAUACCAGGCUGAACUCAGAUAUGAUCCACCUAGAUCUGCCUUGCAAGUGUUGACAUAAAAGGAUGCAUGAAAAUCUGCCAAGUGAAAAGCAUAUUAAAACAUAUAAAAAUAUAAAAGAUGAUGAGCAAUUAACAAAUACCAAAUAUGAACUAGCCCCCUGGGUACUGAUGUGGAUGAGCUCUGUUGAUCCCUGACCUCAGGCAAAGGUUUUCAUCACUGACACUUCCAAGCUGAAGAAUGAAUUUCCAUAGUUUUGAAAAUAUCAGCCUCAGAAGUCUUCUGAUCUCAUGGAAUUUCAGCAUUAUCGGCAUAGAGCACUUAAAGGAUGAAGAUUUAUUUCAAAAGAAUUAUUUCUAUUAUGGUACCAGUAUAAUGGGAAAGCAGUCCACUCUGCGACUAGAAAGCCUGGUAUGGAAGAAUCCCUACUGUUGCUAACUGAUUUGGGCAAGGAAGCGGUGGAGUCUGUGACUCACUGCUGACUCAGAACUCAGAAUGAGAGACACUGAUGGCUCCUGUGACAACCUCCUCGUAACCUAUCCAACAGCCGAAUAAAAGAAAAGAAAAGGAAAAAGAAAACAAUCCAGACAGGAGUCUAUUGAAGAAAGGCCUUUAAACAUUGUGAGAAAGAUGUGAUCAAGCACUUCACAGUUGAUGGCUUCUGGCAAUGGGAGCAGCAAUGUGGCAGAUGAGGAGCAACCUUGGCGUUAUCUGUUGAAGAAGAGGCAGCGUCAAACAGUGUGGAUUUCAUGUGCAUCAAGGAAAGAGCUGCAAAACGGCAACACAAACAAUGACAAAAUGCACAUGAAGAUGAGAAAAAUUGGACAACACAGAGAGGAAGCAAAAUAAAUCCAAACCAAAUAGAAACAAAUGAAAAACCCAACAAGGUUGCAUAAUGGAGAGUAAAGAAAAUAAAUAGAAUCAAUUAAGCAAAGUGUUGGUUCUUGGGAAAGAUAAAUUAGAGGAAGCAAUCUACAAUCACACUAACCAAAAGAUAGAGGAUAAUCACAGGAAUCACACGGUCAUCUAAACAGAUUAAGAAAUGCUCUUGGACAAAGUUCAAUGUCCUUUCCAGAUACAAGCCCUGAAUCUAGGAACACAUCUAAAUAUAAUAAAUUAUAUGAAAAA